ACCGGCGAAGGUUGUCCGUUCCUGAUAUUUUUAAAUGGGUUUUGUAGAGAAGAUGGAGGGGACUCUUUUUAUGGUGAUGGAUUUUCAAAAAUGAAGAUGGUGGAGCAAUGUAACGACCGCCGGAGACACACUGAAGGAGGGAGGAGGCGGAGGCGGAGGAGGCGGAGGCGGAGGCGGCUAGGGUUUGUUUGAGAAUGAGAGAGUUUUCCAGAUUUCUUUGGUGAAGAGAUAGAAAAU
rnacentral:lncRNA from 1 species